GAUCCUGGCUCAGAAUCAACGCUGGCGGCGUGCCUAACACAUGCAAGUCGAACGCGAAAGUUCCUUCGGGGAUGAUUAGAGUGGCGUCCGGGUGAGUAACACGUGGGUAAUCUGCCUUCGGGUGGGGAAUAACGUCUCGAAAGAGACGCUAAUACCGCAUAAUGCAGCGGCACCUAAUGGUGAAUAGUUGUUAAAGCGGGGGAUCGCAAGACCUCGCGCCUGAAGAAGAGCCUGCGGCCGAUUAGCUAGUUGGUGAGGUAAUGGCUCACCAAGGCUUCGAUCGGUAGCUGGUCUGAGAGGACGGCCAGCCACACUGGCACUGACACACGGGCCAGACUCCUACGGGAGGCA
rnacentral:rRNA from 1 species